rfam:Stegodyphus mimosarum contig4944, whole genome shotgun sequence.
GAAACGGCCCUUUUAAGGGCCACUCCUUCUUUUGUUUUGUAAAAUU